AACGAACGCUGGCGGCAGGCCUGACACAUGCAAGUCGAGCGAGCCCUUCGGGGCUAGCGGCGGACGGGUGAGUAACGCGUGGGAACGUGCCCUUCUCUACGGAAUAGCCUCGGGAAACUGAGAGUAAUACCGUAUAAGCCCUUCGGGGGAAAGAUUUAUCGGGGAAGGAUCGGCCCGCGUUGGAUUAGGUAGUUGGUGGGGUAAUGGCCUACCAAGCCGACGAUCCAUAGCUGGUUUGAGAGGAUGAUCAGCCACACUGGGACUGAGACACGGCCCAGACUCCUACGGGAGGCAGCAGUGGGGAAUCUUAGACAAUGGGGGAAACCCUGAUCUAGCCAUGCCGCGUAAGUGACGAAGGCCUUAGGGUCGUAAAGCUCUUUCGCUGGGGAAGAUAAUGACGGUACCCAGUAAAGAAACCCCGGCUAACUCCGUGCCAGCCGCCGCAGUAAAAC
rnacentral:rRNA from 1 species